UACGAAGGGGGCUAGCGUUGUUCGGAAUUACUGGGCGUAAAGGGCGCGUAGGCGGUGUGUCAAGUCAGGCGUGAAAGCCCCGGGCUCAACCUGGGAACAGCGCUUGAGACUGGCACGCUCGAGUUCGGGAGAGGAUGGUGGAAUUCCCAGUGUAGAGGUGAAAUUCGUAGAUAUCAGGAGGAACACCAGUGGCGAAGGCGGCUUCCUGGACACCAACUGACGCUGAGACGCGAAAGCGUGGGGAGCAAACAGG
rnacentral:rRNA from 1 species